rnacentral:lncRNA from 1 species
AUGCAGAGUGCCAAAGCCCUGCUUGCUUCUCCAGUUCUGAUUGGCUCCUGCAGCAGGGGUCUGCCUCCCCCCUGAGAAGAGCAUCCAUCUAAACACCUUCCUAGAGCAGAUCCCUUCCAGGUGGCCAGACAGGUGUUCCAGACCACAGUUUUCUCCCAGGACAUUGACACAGCAGCCAAGUUUAUUGGUGGUGGCUGGACCAGGGACAGACCUGCAUUGAACAGUAUUGGGCAGCUUUAUACUGCCAAACAACUGGGGGACCCCAUCUCUCAAACAAUAGCUCUUCUAUUCCAUUUUGGGCUUUGCCCUGCCUGAGGCCAUGGGGCUCUUAUGUUUGCUGAUCACC